rnacentral:lncRNA from 1 species
AUUUCAAAGUGGACAUUGUUCUUGGAGGUCCUUGCCCUCAGUCCAUGCAUCACAGGUAACGUUGACACCAUGGCUGCUACCAAGUGGUUACUGCUCCUCUUCUCAGUAGCCCUGUUGGGCCUGAGCUCUGCUCAAUUCACUGAUGAGGAGGAUGAACAAAAUUCAGAAGAUUCAGUAGAUGUAGAACCAUUAGGCUCCCAGCAGGAUGAUCAGAACCCUGGCCAGCAACAAGGUGGUAACCAGAAACUUGGACCUCCAGGUGGCCACCAAGGAGAUCCUCCAGGUGGACAGCAAGGGGGUCAGCAGGGUGGUCAGCAAGGAGGCCAUCCAGGUGGCCCUCAAGGAGGUCAGCAAGGUGGCCAGCAAGGAGGCCAUCCAAGUGGCCAACAGGGAGGCCGUCCAGGUGGCCAGUAAGUAAGGCAUCUACUCUCCCCACCCCCAAGGUAUUUCUUUGUUCCUCUUAGUGAACCAAUGUCCGUGUUUGAACAUGUACUGGCUGUCAACUGACAUCAUAUCAGUCUCAAUUUGUUUUUUUUUACAGCUCUUUACCCUUUUCUAUUCAUCUGACUCUUCAUCACAAUUCUUUUCUGCCAACUAUUUGCUCAUCUUUGAUUAUCUCAGCAUCAUUCUCCAUGAUAGAAAGAGAGAGAGAGAGAGAGAGAGAGAGAGAGAGAGAGAGAGAAACUUUACCUAUUCUUUUCUCCCUCUCCUUUAUGCUACUCAUCUCUAUCCCACCCCAAGGUCUCUCUCCAAAUUUUGUUGUGUUUUCUUUUUAAAAUUUCAGUAAUACAUGACUUUAUUAUUGCUACUGCCAUUAGCCAAGCAUCCAAAUCAAGCACAAUUUAUCUCCACUAAAACUCUUCCUUUCUUUUUUCAGUGCAUAAAAAGGAAGAUGGGCAUUCAGGAGGUACCCUUGAAGUCCUCAUGUGGACCCGGAUAUUGGGACAACUGUGGUAUCAAGACAUACCUCUUAUCUACUGCAUCAUUUCUGUACAAUACCAAAAAAUACACUAGUAGUUAAACAUUGA